UACGUAGGUGGCGAGCGUUAUCCGGAUUUAUUGGGUUUAAAGGGUGCGUAGGCGGCCAUUUAAGUCAGCGGUGAGAUUUUGCAGCUUAACUGUAACAGUGCCGUUGAUACUGUUUGGCUAGGAUUUGGUUGUAGUGUGCGGAAUGUGUGGUGUAGCGGUGAAAUGCUUAGAUAUCACACAGAACACCGAUUGCGAAGGCAGCACACUAAGUCAUUAUUGACGCUGAGGCACGAAAGUGUGGGAUCAAACAGGAUUA
rnacentral:rRNA from 1 species